GCAUUUUCCUUAUCGUUUCUUUGGUAGCUUGUACUUAUGCACAAGAUUCUUCAUGUCAAGAAAAUGAAGAGUUUUAUCCGUGCGGUACUUGUGACAGUCGAUGUUUCCUUGAAAUAAAUUGUUUAAGAACAAUGUGUACAGAAACAAUUACAAAGGAUCAUGUGGAUGUAAAUCCGGAUAUGUGAGAAAUGAUCAACAUAAAUGUAUUCAUCGCAGUGAAUGUGAUUCUUCCAUUUUUAAAUUGGGAAAAUAGAGACAAUAGAGGCAAUUUAAUGGUAUAUAUCGAUUAGAUUGUUUACUCUUAACUAAAAUAAUUAGCGGGGAAAUACGAACUGUAAAUUUCAAUUGUGCUAAUAUAUUAUUAAAUGUUUAAAAAAAUUUUAUUGUAUAAAUUUAAUUUAUCGUAUUUUUACAAUAAAAA